rnacentral:tRNA from 1 species
GUGUGUAUAUCUCAGUGGUAGAGUCCAUGCUUAGCAUGCAUGAGGUCCUGGGUUCAAUCCCCAGUACCUCCA